rnacentral:rRNA from 1 species
CAGUCGCCGCGGUAAUACAGAGGGUGCAAGCGUUAAUCGGAAUUACUGGGCGUAAAGCGUGCGUAGGCGGUUCGUUAAGUCUGUUGUGAAAGCCCCGGGCUCAACCUGGGAAUGGCAAUGGAUACUGGCGAGCUAGAGUGUGUCAGAGGAUGGUGGAAUUCCCGGUGUAGCGGUGAAAUGCGUAGAGAUCGGGAGGAACAUCAGUGGCGAAGGCGGCCAUCUGGGACAACACUGACGCUGAGGCACGAAAGCGUGGGGAGCAAACAGGAUUAGAUACCCCUGUAGUCCCUGUCUCUUAUAC